rnacentral:tRNA from 1 species
UCCUGGGUGGCUCAGUGGUUGAGUACCUGUCUUUGGCUCAGGAUGUGAUCCCCAGGGA